GUCCUCUUGUUAUAUUAUGAGAGGUCUGACCUGCCCAGUGAUUUAUUUUAACGGCCGCGGUAUUCUGACCGUGCAAAGGUAGCAUAAUCAUUAGUCUUUUAAAAGGGGGCUAGAAUGAAGGGUUUGACGAAGAAUUAACUGUCUCAUUUUAUUUGAUUAUAAAAUUUAACUUUUUAGUCAAAAGGCUAAAAUCUAAUUGGUAGACGAGAAGACCCUAUAGAGCUUUAUAUAAUUUGAUAAUAACAAUAAUAUAUUAAUAUUGCUUAUAUUAAAUUAAUAUUUUGUUGGGGUGACAAAAAUAUAUAAUUAACUUUUUUAUUUUUAUUACAUUGAUUUAUGUAUAAUAGAUCCAUUAUUAUUGAUUGAUAGAUUAAGUUACCUUAGGGAUAACAGCGUAAUCCUCUUUCAGAGUUCAUAUUUACGGGAGGGCUUGCGACCUCGAUGUUGGAUUAAGAUAAUAUUUUGGUGUAGCUGCUAAAUUAAUAGGUCUGUUCGACCUUUAAAUUCUU
rnacentral:rRNA from 1 species